rnacentral:rRNA from 1 species
AUUGAACGCUGGCGGCAGGCCUAACACAUGCAAGUCGAACGGUAACAGGAAACAGCUUGCUGUUUCGCUGACGAGUGGCGGAUGGGUGAGUAAUGUCUGGGAAACUGCCUGAUGGAGGGGGAUAACUACUGGAAACGGUAGCUAAUACCGCAUAACGUCGCAAGACCAAAGAGGGGGACCUUCGGGCCUCUUGCCAUCGGAUGUGCCCAGAUGGGAUUAGCUAGUAGGUGGGGUAACGGCUCACCUAGGCGACGAUCCCUAGCGGGUCUGAGAGGAUGACCAGCCACACUGGAACUGAGACACGGUCCAGACUCCUACGGGAGGCAGCAGUGGGGAAUAUUGCACAAUGGGCGCAAGCCUGAUGCAGCCAUGUCGCGUGUAUGAAGAAGGCCUUCGGGUUGUAAAGUACUUUCAGCGGGGAGGAAGGGAGUAAAGUUAAUACCUUUGCUCAUUGACGUUACCCGCAGAAGAAGCACCGGCUAACUCCGUGCCAGCCGCCGCAGUAA